UACAGAGGGUGCAAGCGUUAAUCGGAAUUACUGGGCGUAAAGCGCGCGUAGGUGAUUCGUUAAGUUGGAUGUGAAAUCCCCGGGCUCAACCUGGGAACUGCAUCCAAAACUGGCGAGCUAGAGUAUGGUAGAGGGUGGUGGAAUUUCCUGUGUAGCGGUGAAAUGCGUAGAUAUAGGAAGGAACACCAGUGGCGAAGGCGACCACCUGGACUGAUACUGACACUGAGGUGCGAAAGCGUGGGGAGCAAACAGG
rnacentral:rRNA from 1 species